CCCCCCCCCAUUAAACCCUAGAUUGUUUUUUCUUCUUUUGUGUUUGUUUGUUUUCUCUCAAAUUUUCCCUUCUUCAAGCGAAAUCUGAAGAUACUCUGAGUUUGUAUCCUCGGGUUGUUAUCGUUGUCGUGGUUUAUUUACACCCAGAAAUAGAGAAUAGAGGGAAGAUAAAGAGGGAAGAGAAAGCAGGCAAAAAAAAGUGAUUAUUCUUCUUCGUCGUCAGUGUGUGAGAAUGAUGAGACGGUAAUGGUGGUCAUAGAGACCACGACGCAUGAUACUUAUAUUAAGCCUUGUGAAGGAAAAAAAUCGACUACGCUGAAAUCUCAGAAGGGAAAGAACGAAGAAGACGUGAAUAAGGACAAGUCUGAGAAAGAAGAUGACGUACAAGGUGGUGCAUCUUCUUUGCAACCAGAACUUCGUCGUGGUAAGGUUUUGUCAUCCACAAAGCAGGAAAUAGAGCAGAAAAAGCACCUUAUUUGUUUAUUUACACCCAAAAAUGGAGAAUAGAGGGAAGAGAAAAAGGGAAGAGAAAGCAGACUGGAAACAUGAUUCUUCUUCUUCGUCGUCGGCGAGUGAGAACGUUGAGACGGUGGUUCGUAGUCGUAGAAACCACGACGCAGGAUACUCAUAUUCAGCCUAGUGUAGGGGAAGCGUCGAGUAAGGUGAAAUGUCUGGAGGGAAAGAACGAAGAAGAGGUGAAAGAGGACAAGUCUGAGAAAAAAGAUGAGGUACAAGGUGGUGCAUCUUCUUCGCAAACUGAACUUCAUCAUGGUAAGCAUUUGUCAUCUACAAAGCAGGAAACAGAGCAGAAAAAUUGGCUACGGGAGCACCUUAUCUGGUAAGUUAUUUUUUUUUAUGCACCCAAACAAUUAAAUUACUAGUCAUCCUCCAAAAGAGGCAAAAACUUUCAUAAGUUUUCAAACUUGCUGCUACAAAAGCAAAGCAAAACAAAGGGUAAAAGUAGAUAGAUAGAUAGAGCAAGGCAAACCUAACACUUAAGCAAUAAACGUCAUCGUGAAGUCCUCGAACCUUGAUAACACUAGAGCCCAGAAGUGAGUUGACGCCUUGGACAACAACAAACACACAAAAUGGUUUGUUGCACAUGAUUGAAUCUACCAUUAGGGCAAACAAAACAAUCCCAGAAUUGGCUGUCAAAAGAGAGGUGACAAAGCACCGAUUUGAUGAGCCGUUAAAACCAACAUAUAAACAGUUCUUUGUAGAACAUCCUACCAGAACAAUGACUGGCCGCGUAACACAAGAGCCACAACAUAAAAGUCAUGGAAUCAAGGAUGUAGGUUGGAUGAAGAUCUCCUUUACGCAGGAGAAUGUAGCCAAAGAUCUCUCCUGAACAUGGCUGGGCAGAA